rnacentral:rRNA from 1 species
ACGCAAUAGAUACCCCGGUAGUCCACGCCCUAAACGAUGUCUACUAGUUGUCGGGUUUUAAUUAACUUGGUAACGCAGCUAAACGCGUGAAAGUAGACCGCCUGGGGAGUACGGUCGCAAGAUUAAAACUCAAAGGAAUUGACGGGGACCCGCACAAGCGGUGGAUGAUGUGGAUUAAUUCGAUGCAACGCGAAAAACCUUACCUACCCUUGACAUGGCAGGAAUCCUGAAGAGAUUUGGGAGUGCUCGAAAGAGAACCUGCACACAGGUGCUGCAUGGCUGUCGUCAGCUCGUGUCGUGAGAUGUUGGGUUAAGUCCCGCAACGAGCGCAACCCUUGUCAUUAGUUGCUACGAAAGAGCACUCUAAUGAGACUGCCGGUGACAAACCGGAGAAGGUGGGGAUGACGUCAAGUCCUCAUGGCCCUUAUGGGUAGGGCUUCACACGUCAUACAAUGGUACAUACAGAGGGCCGCCAACCCGCGAGGGGAGCUAAUCCCAGAAAGUGUAUCGUAGUCCGGAUUGUAGUCUGCAACUCGACUAC